rnacentral:misc_RNA from 1 species
UCAGUUGCAAAGUACAUAGAGUAGUGUUGAGAUUCUAGAAUAUUUACAUUAUUCCAACAAUACAUUGAGUGAGGAAGUUCAAUCAAAACAAAAAGCAACUCCAUAAUACAAUGUCUAGACAUACAUAUUUAGCUUCCUACACUGCUGAAUACGUAUUUUUACUUGUCAAAUAAAUUAUAGUUUUAUUUGGAUACGUGUGCAUUUAAAAUAAAGGGCUAUUUGAAUUUGACAUUAUGUGACAGUUAUGAUUUUUCAUUUG